rnacentral:lncRNA from 1 species
GUGCCAAUAGCCCAGGUCUUUUCACUGCAAAGCUCCACCUUCCAUGUGGAGUCUGACCUGUCAUUUUCACAGCUGCGCCUCCCACUCCCGACUCGUACCCCUCUGGCAGCUAGAGCCAGCAGGAGGAGGAAGCAGCACCAGAAAUCCUCCUGCAGGUGGGAGUGGCCAGUUAAAGAGCAGUGAAAAUUUACUCGAGAUGCAUCAGUAAUAUUUCCAGACCACCAAGCUUCCCGAAGAAAGCAUUGAGUGCCAAAGUUUGCUUCCAUUUAUGUGAAUGCUAAAUUCUGCUAUUAUACAUGCCAGUGGCCAAAGAACCAGGUUGUAAAAGAGUAAUUAAGAAUGCCAUUUCCCCAAAUUAUAAAACAUUAGAAUUACACUCUUCUGAGGAGCUGGAUGUCUGGCAGAGACAGAACUGGACCCAACUUGUACUCAGCAAACCUAAGAACAAGAUCAUCCUUUCUCCUCCUUAAGUUCCCAUUUUUUGUUUUCCACAUAACUUCCAAAUUCUAUCAAACAUAAGGCAAGAUUUGUACAGACAACAGUUUCAUUCACUAGAGGCCUAACAGUCUACACUAGAGGCCUAACAGUCUAUCCUGUGCACUGAAUGACUCAGUAUCCUGUGGAAAAAAUAGUAUAUGCUUAUGUUAUUAAAGGCUGUAACUAUACUCAACGUUUAGCAGCAGAAUUGAAGCCUUAACUCUAGAAUUUCCUAAUACUUUUGGAUAAGGUCGGAUAAUAGUCCGAACUAUAGUUAAUAAUACAGUCCGAACUGUAGUUAAUAAUAGUCACUACAAGGGUUUUCAUGUUUAUUUCCACAGUUUUUAUGUUACAGAGAAG